AUUGAACGCUGGCGGCAUGCCUUACACAUGCAAGUCGAACGGCAGCACGGGAGCAAUCCUGGUGGCGAGUGGCGAACGGGUGAGUAAUACAUCGGAACGUGCCCAAUCGUGGGGGAUAACGCAGCGAAAGCUGUGCUAAUACCGCAUAAGAUCUACGGAUGAAAGCAGGGGAUCGCAAGACCUUGCG
rnacentral:rRNA from 1 species